CCUACGGGAGGCAGCAGUGAGGAAUAUUGGACAAUGGCCGAGAGGCUGAACCAGCCAAGCCGCGUGAGGGAAGACGGCCCUACGGGUUGUAAAUCUCUUUUGUCGGGGAGCAAAGCGAGUCACGUGUGACUCAUUGAGAGUACACGAAGAAAAAGCAUCGGCUAACCUGGUGCCAGCACCCGCGGUAAUACGGGGGAUGCGAGCGUUAUCCGGAUUUAUUGGGUUUAAAGGGUGCGCAGGCGGAGGUGCAAGUCAGCGGUCAAAUUGCGGGGCUCAACCCCGUACGGCCGUUGAAUCUGUAUCACUUGAGUGCGAGAGAGGUAGGCGGAAUGCGAGGUGUAGCGGUGAAAUGCGUAGAUAUCUGGAAGAACACC
rnacentral:rRNA from 1 species